AUUGAACGCUGGCGGCAGGCUUAACACAUGCAAGUCGAGCGGAGAUGAGGUGCUUGCACCUUAUCUUAGCGGCGGACGGGUGAGUAAUGCUUAGGAAUCUGCCUAUUAGUGGGGGACAACAUUCCGAAAGGAAUGCUAAUACCGCAUACGCCCUACGGGGGAAAGCAGGGGAUCUUCGGACCUUGCGCUAAUAGAUGAGCCUAAGUCGGAUUAGCUAGUUGGUGGGGUAAAGGCCUACCAAGGCGACGAUCUGUAGCGGGUCUGAGAGGAUGAUCCGCCACACUGGGACUGGAACACGGCCCAGACUCCUACGGGAGGCAGCAGUGGGGAAUAUUGGACAAUGGGCGGAAGCCUGAUCCAGCCAUGCCGCGUGUGUGAAGAAGGCCUUUUGGUUGUAAAGCACUUUAAGCGAGGAGGAGGCUACCUGGAUUAAUACUCUAGGAUAGUGGACGUUACUCGCAGAAUAAGCACCGGCUAACUCUGUGCCAGCCGCCGCCGUAAAAC
rnacentral:rRNA from 1 species